rnacentral:misc_RNA from 1 species
UCUCCGUUAUCCGGAGCAGUCCUCGUAGAGUUCCCCCUUGCGGGUGGCAACUACGAAUAAGGGUUGCGCUCGUUGCGGGACUUAACCCAACACCUCACGGCACGAGCUGACGACAGCCAUGCAGCACCUCUACUACUGUCCCUUGCGGGAAGACGAUAUUUCUACCGUUGGUCAGUAGCGGUUCAAGCCCAGGUAAGGUUCUUCGCGUUGCGUCGAAUUGAACCACAUGUUCCACCGCUUGUGCGGGCCCCCGUCAAUUCCUUUGAGUUUCAGUCUUGCGACCGUACUCCCCAGGCGCAGGACUUAACGCGUUAGCUACGGGACGACCCGCCUACGCGGGCCACCCCAAGUCCUGAUGGUUUAGGGCUAGGACUAC